rnacentral:misc_RNA from 1 species
GAUGAAGAACGUAGCGAAAUGCGAUACUUGGUGUGAAUUGCAGAAUCCCGUGAACCAUCGAGUCUUUGAACGCAAGUUGCGCCCGAAGCCAUUAGGCCGAGGGCACGCCUGCCUGGGCGUCACACGUCGUUGCCCCCCCAUCUACUCCUUCGGGAUUGCGGGGGGCGGAUGAUGGCCUCCCGUGCGCCUCGCCGCGCGGUUGGCAUAAAUGCCAAGUCCUCGGCGACGCACGCCACGACAAUCGGUGGUUGCGAAACCUCGGUUGCCCGUCGUGUGCGGUCGUCGCGCAUCGAGGGCUCGAAAAAAUUGCCGGGUUCCGGCUCGGCUCUCAACGCGACCCCAGGUCAGGCGGGGUUACCCGCUGAAUUUAAGCAUAUCAAUAAGCGGAGGA